CUGUGAUAUGAAAGCGUGAGCUGGACUUAUAUUUCCGCCAUUCACUUCCUGGUUUCUUAGACGGAAUUUGGGCAGUAGUAGAAAAAUAAACAUAAAUGAGCUCCCAGAAGAGGCAGCUUAUCUACGCUAUCUCUAAGUACAGUUCGUUGAUGUUGGGAGAGCCCACUGAGCCAAGCAAUGAUGUUGCUCUGUUUUCUUCUCUGGUGAGAUUGUAACUACACUCAUGGCUGCCCCAGCAAGAGAACAUCAGAUGUCUCUCCAUCGCUCUUCCACUAUCUUCUGCUCAGUGCAUCUGUCCCUUCGGCCCUCCAUUGCACCUUCCCUCCGUGACGUCUCAGCAUCGCCACGGCGACAAGAGGCACGCCACUCAAACUGAAAAACAUUUGGUGAUGAACAGAUUGGGUGAGGAGGGAGAGAGAUAAGAUGAGAAAGGAGAAAAAGUGGGAUGAGAUGCGAAGAAACAAUGUGAUGAGAAAAAGAGUAAAAGGAAACUGAGGGUCAGACAUCUGAGUGAUGAGUGAUGGCCCAGCACAGCAAAAGAGCAGCAGCAUCGAAAAACAAAGAGGAAGGAAGACAGAAAAGGAGAAUACCACUUGUAAGGGUGUUCUCUUUUUGCUGCAGCAUUGAUCUUUUUCUGCCAUUGUCUGUUACAUAUAGACCCUAUUUCUAUUUUAAAUUUCAAAAUCCAAGAAUUUUUUUUUUCAUUGGUAAAAAAUGUCAAAAAGCACACUAUGCAGUCGACAAUGGGGAAAUGGUGGCCUGGACCUAACCAUCUUCAGAUCUUCAUUUCCUCUCAGCUCUUUUGGACAGGUAAUGCAUUAACUUUCUGAGUUGGCCAGUGGACAAGACAUUUACUGGUGUGGACAAUCAUUGGCUCCCAGCUCGAUUUGAAUGGAGCUUCCCUGAAGUAAAUGUUAUUUGCAAAUGAAGCUUUAAGAUUUAGGCUGUGUGAU